rnacentral:misc_RNA from 1 species
CUCAGUUGCCAGAGAAAUCAAUUGCCCAACAGACCCAAGAGAGAAACACCUGAAAUUCAAGAUUCCUCUCUGCCAUGUCCAAACCUUGCACUAGAAAACUCUUCAAACGAAACCUUUUUAAUUUAUGAUAGUCAGAGAACUAACCUUGUGCAUUGGUCAACAAUUCAUCAACAUACUCCUGAUAGAAACAUAUGCAACUACAAUAAUGAAAAUCUCGGCGCCCCAUUUUCCAUGAGCUUUAAUUAAGAGACCAAAGCUUGCUUUUGAGCAUUAG